rnacentral:rRNA from 1 species
AACUUUCAACAACGGAUCUCUUGGGUCUCGCAUCGAUGAAAAACGCAGCGAAAUGCGAUACAUAUUAUGAAUUGCGGAUAUUCNNGAAUCAUCUAAUCUUUGAACGCACAUUGCGCCCUUUGGGAUUCCNAAGGGGAUGCCUGUGUGAGCGUCAUUUC